UUUGUAGAGAAAACAGUAGUUUGUCAUUGGCCAAACAGUGGUUUGACUUUGGUCAAACAGUGGUUUGUCUUUGGUCAAGCAGACUUUUGAACCACUAAGAAUCAUAUUUUUGCAAACAGUGGUUUGACUUUGGUCAAACCAACUUUUUUUAAAAAUAGUGGUUUGGCUUUGGUCAAACAAUGGUUGCAUACUAAUGCUAUUUCCUUUCAUCAUGUUCUCUCAGUUACUUACCACCAUUCGUUAAUUUAAUUACAUCACAUGCAACUUAUAUAAGUUUUAAUUCUAAUCUUGAUUUCUUGGUGGAUAACAGUACCUAACUUUAAACUAGAAAUACUAGCAUUAAACUAAAAAUUACAAUAUCUAUACACUUAUCUAUACUUUCUAUCAAAAUAUGUUAUGCAUGGUUUUCUCAUUGGUGUUUGAAACCAGCUUGAUGCCUUUAGCCGUUUCACCUCAGUGGCAAGAGAAAGCCAGUGGUUUCUUCUCCUCUUCAGGGACAACUUCGGAUGUUCCGUAGAGAGUAUCGAUGCCAGAUAAAAAGACUAUUGAGUUGAUCAUGGAUAAGCUUCAAAAAAAAGAUAUUUAUGGAGUAUACGCUGAGUCGGUUGAUCCUGAGGAGCUUCCUGAUUAUCAUGAUGUGAUCAAGCAUCCAAUGGACUUUGCUACUAUCAAGAAGAAGCUUGCGAAAUGAUUGUAUUUAUCUUUGAAAGAAUUUGAGAUGUUUUUGAUUUACAGACUCAACAUCUGCUACUCAAAGGCUUGCCAAAGCCAAAGUCUGCCAAAAGAGAACAUCUGCUUGAAGGAAAAGUCUGUUGAUCCAAAGGUCUGCCAAAGUGAUCCUCUGCUGAUGAAGAGAAAGUCUGAAGAAGCAAAGGUCUGCUAUGGCUCAACAGUUGUUAAAAACCAACAGAUGAUAUUCAACAGAUGUUGCUCAACAGAGGCUAACAAUGUAACAGUGCUUAGGGUAAUAACAGAUGUUAGGAGUUUAUUAGGCUGUUUGAUUGUAAUUAAUGUUUGUUGAAAGUGAAGCUGUAUUGGAUGUAUUGAUUUUUUUCAAAAUAAAGAUUUUAAGUUUGUUAGUAUA